AAUUAAUGAGAAACCACUGAUGUGGAAUACUGAGCUCCUAUUUUGAGGGGGAGUAGGCAUAUUUGUGCAGUUUAAAUAAUUUGGUCACGUUAAUAAUUCAUUAAUGAAGAGAAUAGAAACAAGAAUAGAAACAAAUCCAUUCAAAAUCUUUGACUAUAUACUUAUGGACUGCUAACGGCAGCCAUUAUGCGUCCCAAGACCGGUAGCGACACCAUGUCCCAAAAGUGGCCAAGCUAAGAACUUAAUAACCUCAUAACCACUCAUAACUGGGUGAUUGGUACUCAUUGGACCACACGAUUGGAGUAAGUUAAAGAAAUAUAAGAUAUAAAGUGCAAGAAUUGAAACAAUGGUUCGUUAUUGUUUUGUAGAAUUAUGUAAAAACACAAGAUAUAAAGCAAAAGAAGUUUCCAAGCAAUCUUCAACUUCAAGAUGAAUGGGUCCAAGCUUUACUCCCUUUGAAUGCCCAGAACAGUGCUUUAAGCUUGCCAAAAAUGGCAUCGAUAUAUGCAGAGCAUUUUGAUAAAAAAUGUUUUUCAAAAAACGACCAUUUGUGUCAUCAGAAAUUUAAAUAUUGAAAGUUUAUUUCAAAAUUUUGAAUGCCCACAUUAAAGACAACGAUUCGUUAGACAACCAUCAAUACGAAAUGAUUGAAACAAUUAUUGAAUUAUACUUAAAAGUAUAAUUAUAUUCUAUUGGCAAAAAAAAUGCAAGAGAAUCUCAUAUAAAAUACAUAUGACAACACUUAACGAAAUCAGUAUUGUUUAGAGGACAAUAAUAAAAUAUUAUUUAUAAUAUUUUAUAACAAAGUUUUUUUUAUAUUAUUUUAAAUAAUAUUUAAUAGUCGUUCUGUUAUUCUCUUGUAUGUUCAGGUAUAUUUCAUUACAUCAUAUAUAGAUUUACAUAAAUUAUUAUAAUAUAUUUCAUCGUGAAAAAAUUGUUCUUGUAGAAUCAGUUUAAAGCAAUUUAAAUUUUUCCCGCGUUUUGGGAUAUGGUAGCGCUACAGAUCUUGGAUCGCGACCUUAUACAUUGCUUAGAUAGGAAAAGUCAAAGUUCAAAAUAGCCACGAAAUAACCUGACACUUGCAAGUCUCGUAAAACAGUUUAAUAAGAUUGCUCUCAAAAGUUCGUUUCGCGAUUUGCACUUAUUAAGAUUGAAAAUCUUUUUAAUUUCGAACAGCCGACAUUCAUGUCCCGUACUUGAUUGUACUUAGAUGAUAAUGAAAGAAACUUUUGGAACAACCAAAUAUAAUGGAACGCUGGGGCUGCAGCCAAGUAGCCUCAAUCGCUUAGGGAUUGAAAAAACUAGCUGAACGAGGAAGAAGUAGGUUUUCGUGAGCCAGAAUUAAUCCAGCUGCGGUAGUAACUGCUGACGAUGUUAACAAAUAAGAAAAAUCCACAACCUUGAUUCGGACUCACACUUCAAAAAUUUUACGUCGAAGUAAACCCACUCUAAAUAGCCUAAACACCCUAACACUUGGAAAUCUGGUCUCGUGGACAUUAAAUAUCCACAAUCUUUAUUCGGAUUCAUGCUUUAAAAAUCUUAAAUUGAAAUAAAUCCACUCUAAACAGCCCAAACAUCCUAACACUCCACGACCCCCAUAACCUCAAAUUCAAGCAAACCUACUAUAAAUAGCCUAAACACCCUAACACUUGGAAAUAUUAUUCGAUAGACCUUAAAAAUCCACAACUUUCAUUUGGAUUCACAUCCCCAAAACCUCAAACUGAAGUAAAUCCACUUUAAACAGUCCAAACAUCCUAACCCCCCCCCCAUAAUUCACGCUUAAACAAAUCUUAAAUUGAAAUAAAUUUAUGCUAAACAGCCUAAAAUUCUACAUUCCUCUUAAUACAUGAUUGCAUUCCAAGUAUUUCGAUCGUUCCCACGCAUAGUGGAAUCUUUAACAAAGAAUUCUCACUAGAUUCACUUCAGUCCAUACAUGCAAAGAGGUAGACUAAAAUUUCCACACAAAAAAAUAAAAAUAAAAAAAAUAUACAUGUCGAAUUGCGUAAACUCCUCCUUUUCGAAGUUGAUUAAAAAUCGAUGCCCAAUGCUUUGACUCGACUACCAUAAACGUGCAUCGCAACUAACGGUAGCCAUUGAUCAAACAGAAAGAAAAAACCCUAACCCAGAAACCGGCCUUCACUUCGUGGCGUUAAUAACCAGGAAGCCCAUGAAUUCCGGAAGGUUCCGAUGCUAUUCGACACCUGAAAGAAGCAAAGGUCUCUCCUGCGAAAUUGGAACGGCUAGCGAAAACUAAUGACGUCCAAUUCAAACGGCGACAACCCCGCCGCGGACGAUGAAUAGCAAGAUCGACAAGAGCUCGUACUUUCCGCGGGUCUACCUUGAAAUCCCAGCCCAGGGUUAGGUCUGGGUUCUCUUUGGACCCAGGCCAAAACUCCGAGCCUCCGGCAUCCCACUCCUGUUUCACGCCUAUAUUUCAUUACAUCGAUUCCUUGUCGCGUGUUUUGCCUACAUGAUCGUGGCACCCCCAUUCCCAGGGACGCUUUCCCCCGAAACACGAGACUCCGUCGAACAGGGGUUUUGUUUCGAUCAUCGAGCCGCGUUGGACGAUAAGCGGGCCGGAUUCAACAUCACCUGAAACGAGGCGUUGGCGUUAACGUCCCGCGGACUUAAUGCGACGAUGGUUCUGACGCCAGAAACGACGCGAUGUUAAACGUUCAACGCUUUAUCUCUCGGAUCACACUUUUUCCUUUGGGUCCGUGCCAGACACCUACUUCUUUCUCACUUAGCUGUCUUUUCAAUCCCUGGGUGGUCGAGGCUGCUCGGUUCCGAGUCUCAACGUUCCAUUAUACGCCAACCGAACGAGAUUUUCAAGCGUUGGGGUGUUUAGAAUGUUUAGAGGAGGUUUGAUCGAAUUUGAGGUUUUGGGAGCGUGAAUCCAAAUGAAAUUUGUGGAUUUUUAAGGUCUAUCGAAUAAUAUUUCCAAGUGUUGAGGUGUUUAGUCUGUUUAGAGUAGGUUUGCUUGAAUUUGAAAUUAUGGGGGCGUGGUUUUAGCUAUUUAGAGUGGGUUUUCUUCAGUUUGGGAUUUCGAGGGCGUGAAUUCAAAUGAAAGUUAUAGAUUUUCCCAAUUUGUCAGCUUCUGGCUGAAUUCGAACAUACGAAAAUCUAC